rnacentral:rRNA from 1 species
GAUGAACGCUAGCGGCAGGCCUAAUACAUGCAAGUCGAACGGGAUCCAGAUCAAAGCUUGCUUUGGUUUGGUGAGAGUGGCGCACGGGUGCGUAACGCGUGAGCAACCUACCCUUGUCAGGGGGAUAGCCCGGCGAAAGUCGGAUUAAUACCGCAUGACAUCAUUGAGAGGCAUCUUUCGAUGAUCAAAGAUUUAUCGGACAAGGAUGGGCUCGCGUGACAUUAGCUAGUUGGUAAGGUAACGGCUUACCAAGGCUACGAUGUCUAGGGGCUCUGAGAGGAGAAUCCCCCACACUGGUACUGAGACACGGACCAGACUCCUACGGGAGGCAGCAGUAAGGAAUAUUGGUCAAUGGACGGAAGUCUGAACCAGCCAUGCCGCGUGCAGGAAGACGGCCCUAUGGGUUGUAAACUGCUUUUAUACGGGAACAAACGUCGGUACGUGUACCGGUCUGAGUGUACCGUAAGAAUAAGGUUCGGCUAACUCCGUG